rnacentral:rRNA from 1 species
GAUGAACGCUGGCGGCGUGCCUAAUACAUGCAAGUAGAACGCUGAAGGAGGAGCUUGCUCUUCUGGAUGAGUUGCGAACGGGUGAGUAACGCGUAGGUAACCUGCCUGGUAGCGGGGGAUAACUAUUGGAAACGAUAGCUAAUACCGCAUGACAACAGUUAUUGCAUGAUAACUGUUUAAAAGGGGCAACUGCUCCACUACCAGAUGGACCUGCGUUGUAUUAGCUAGUUGGUGAGGUAACGGCUCACCAAGGCGACGAUACAUAGCCGACCUGAGAGGGGGAUCGGCCACACUGGGACUGAGACACGGCCCAGACUCCUACGGGAGGCAGCAGUAGGGAAUCUUCGGCAAUGGACGGAAGUCUGACCGAGCAACGCCGCGGGAGUGAAGAAGGUUUUCGGAUCGUAAAGCUCGGUUGUAAGAGAAGAACGAGUGUGAGAGUGGAAAGUUCACACUGUGACGGUAUCUUACCAGAAAGGGACGGCUAACUACGUG